UACGUAGGGUGCGAGCGUUAAUCGGAAUUACUGGGCGUAAAGCGUGCGCAGGCGGCGCGUUAAGACAGGUGUGAAAGCCCCGAGCUUAACUUGGGAAUUGCGCUUGUGACUGGCGUGCUGGAGUGUGGCAGAGGGAGGUGGAAUUCCACGUGUAGCAGUGAAAUGCGUAGAGAUGUGGAGGAACACCGGUGGCGAAGGCGGCUUCCUGGACCGACACUGACGCUGAGGCGCGAAAGCGUGGGGAGCGAACAGG
rnacentral:rRNA from 1 species